AUUGAACGCUGGCGGCAGGCCUAACACAUGCAAGUCGAACGGUAACAGGAAGCAGCUUGCUGCUUUGCUGACGAGUGGCGGACGUGUGAGUAAUGUCUGGGAAACUGCCUGAUGGAGGGGGAUAACUACUGGAAACGGUAGCUAAUACCGCAUAAUGUCGCAAGGCCAAAGAGGGGGACCUUCUGGCCUCUUGCCAUCGGAUGUGCCCAGAUGGGGUUAGCUAGUAGGUGGGGUAAAGACUCACCUAGGCGACGAUCCCUAGCUGGUCUGAGAGGAUGACCAGCCACGCUGGAACUGAGACACGGUCCAGACUCCUACGGGAGGCAGCAGUGGGGAAUAUUGCACAAUGGGCGCAAGCCUGAUGCAGCCAUGCCGCGUGUAUGAAGAAGGCCUUCGGGUUGUAAAGUACUUUCAGCGGGGAGGAAGGGAGUAAAGUUAAUACCUUGGCUCAUUGACGUUACCCGAAGAAGAAGCACCGGCUAACUCCGUG
rnacentral:rRNA from 1 species